rnacentral:rRNA from 1 species
UACCAGCACCCCGAGUGGUCGGGACGUUUAUUGGGCCUAAAGCAUCCGUAGCCGGUUCUACAAGUCUUCCGUUAAAUCCACCUGCUUAACAGAUGGGCUGCGGAAGAUACUAUAGAGCUAGGAGGCGGGAGAGGCAAGCGGUACUCGAUGGGUAGGGGUAAAAUCCGUUGAUCCAUUGAAGACCACCAGUGGCGAAGGCGACUCACUGGACAUGUAUUGACGCUGAGGUGCGAAAGCGUGGGGAGCAAACAGG